GAUGAAGAACGUAGCGAAAUGCGAUAAGUAAUGCGAAUUGCAGAAUUCCGUGAGUCAUCGAAUCUUUGAACGCACCUUGCGCCCCUUGGUUAUUCCAAAGGGCAUGCCUGUUUGAGUAUCAUGAACACCUCAACUCUUGUGGUUUCCCACAAUGAGCUUGGACUGUGGAGGUUUUGUUGGCCCUGUGGUCAGCUCCUCUCAAAUGGAUCAGCUUACCGGUGUUUGGUGGCAUUACGGGUGUGAUAACUAUCUACGCUCGUGGUCGUCUCCAAAUAACCUCCAGUGAUGGAGGUUCGCUGGAGCUUAUAAAUGUCUCUCCCCAGUGAAGACAGCCUUUGAACGUUCGAUCUCAAAUCAGGUAGGACUACCCGCUGAACUUAAGCAUAUCAAUAAGCGGAGGA
rnacentral:misc_RNA from 1 species